rnacentral:rRNA from 1 species
AUUGAACGCUGGCGGCAGGCUUAACACAUGCAAGUCGAGCGGAGCGAGGGUGCUUGCACCUUAGCUUAGCGGCGGACGGGUGAGUAAUGCUUAGGAAUCUGCCUAUUAGUGGGGGACAACAUUCCGAAAGGAAUGCUAAUACCGCAUACGCCCUACGGGGGAAAGCAGGGGAUCUGCGGACCUUGCGCUAAUAGAUGAGCCUAAGUCGGAUUAGCAAGUUGGUGGGGUAAAGGCCUACCAAGGCGACGAUCUGUAGCGGGUCUGAGAGGAUGAUCCGCCACACUGGGACUGAGACACGGCCCAGACUCCUACGGGAGGCAGCAGUGGGGAAUAUUGGACAAUGGGGGGGACCCUGAUCCAGCCAUGCCGCGUGUGUGAAGAAGGCCUUAUGGUUGUAAAGCACUUUAAGCGAGGAGGAGGCUCUUUUGGUUAAUACCCAAGAUGAGUGGACGUUACUCGCAGAAUAAGUACUGGCUAACUCUGUGCCAGCCGCCGCCGUAA